rnacentral:rRNA from 1 species
AGAGUUUGAUCAUGGCUCAGGACGAACGCUGGCGGCGCGCCUAAUACAUGCGAGUCGAGCGGACUGAUGGGAGCUUGCUCCCAUCAGUCAGCGGCGGACGGGUGAGUAACACGUGGGUAACCUGCCUGUAAGACUGGGAUAACUCCGGGAAACCGGGGCUAAUACCGGAUAACUCAUUUCCUCGCAUGAGGAAAUGUUGAAAGGUGGCUUUUAGCUAUCACUUACAGAUGGACCCGCGGCGCAUUAGCUAGUUGGUGAGGUAAUGGCUCACCAAGGCGACGAUGCGUAGCCGACCUGAGAGGGUGAUCGGCCACACUGGGACUGAGACAGGGCCCAGACUCCUACGGGAGGCAGCAGUAGGGAAUCUUCCGCAAUGGACGAAAGUCUGACGGAGCAACGCCGCGUGAGUGAUGAAGGUUUUCGGAUCGUAAAGCUCUGUUGUUAGGGAAGAACAAGUACCGUUCGAAUAGGGCGGUACCUUGACGGUACCUAACCAGAAAGCCACGGCUAACUACGUGCCAGCAGCCGCGGUAAUACGUAGGUGGCAAGCGUUGUCCGGAAUUAUUGGGCGUAAAGCGCGCGCAGGUGGUUUCUUAAGUCUGAUGUGAAAGCCCACGGCUCAACCGUGGAGG